CCGACUUUGAGGAUGGGUGGGUGCAUGCGUGCGUUGGAUAUGUUACGAUAUUUUAAGAACAAAAAGAAGAGUGCCACGCUUAUUUAACUAGGCCAUGCCAAUUAGGGAUCAGAAACGAUUGAAUCCCGAUUUUUAGUAUGAUGCAUGUGUUCGGCGUCACUCCAUGGCUUGUUGGUGAAAACUUCGUAAUUGGUGUCCAGGAGCUUCCUUCUGCAGGCAUGAUGUCAAUCGUUGCCUGCCAACGGCAUGCGGCAGUGGGAGCUAAGGAAAUGGUUGGUUUGUGUAGAACAGAGCUUCUUAAAGUUUUGCCACGAAGAGAAGCAAUGAGGGAUUCAGAAAAAGGAGAAGUAGCAGCACGAUUUCAAAAUCAAUGGAUGCUGAACAAAUUAGUCAAAGACAUAAAAACCAGGGCACAGGAAUCAGUACCUAACAAAUGUUGUGUUGCAAAGUUAGCAUUCUGCAGAGAAACAAAGUGUCUGCGUUUCAUAUAGUGAGACAGCAGCAGCAGUUGAAAAUUAGAUGGAUGGUGGAUCCUUUGUUCAGUCAACCACAGGCUACUAAGCAGUUGAAGUCUGAGUAAACAUUGCAGCUGAAGCAAAAAUGCUUGAUGAAUGGAAAUGUUUGAAAAUAAUUCUCUGUGUAGGUGAUGGAGCCAGAAAAGAAAAAUUUGCUAUUUGGAAUAAUUGGGAACAGAGAAAAACAGAGUAUCCUGAGGUGGCAUUUGAAAAUUGGAACUCAUUGUGACCCAGAAUUGUAGUCUCUGAUAGAAACUUUUUUUUUUCCUGCUUCGAUUCGUCCACAUAGUUGGUUUCAAUCCACGUAUCACCCUCAGAUGUCCGAGUCUAGUUCGAAGGAUUAGAAAAGAAUGUCUGCCAAACACAGUUUAAUCCUCUGGAUAUUUUGAAGGGAGACCUAGCUGUGUCUUAAACAGUGCAUACAAGGAAACAGGAUGCUGGGAAAGAUAGAAACAUUCGGUCAACAAGUGAAUUGCUAUCAAGUGAAAAUCCAUUUUGAGGCCUGGCGAUAUGAAUGCCCUGCAACUCUGAUCGAGGUGGAGUGUUAUAUGCUGUGUGUUUGGAAAAGUAGGUAGGGUUUCACAAUAUUGCAUGUGAAUGAGAAUCACGGUAAGACAGAAUGAUUUCACUUUCAGCUUCAAAAAUGAUAAGCUUCUUAUUAGUUAGUCUGCGAGUUAAAAGAUUGAAAAUUUCAUAAUCCUUCUAGAGUCUUGGGUAAAUUACAUUGGCCAAUAGAAAUUACUUGAAAAUGUUCAAACAUCGCAAAUUUCCCCGAGGUAGAAUGGACUAGAGCUGGAUUCUUUAUAAUAAUAUAACCUAUUAGUAAACUUUUUAAUAAUUGUUUUACGAGUAGAAAAGGUAAUUUUUAAAAAUCAUGUUAACUAAAUUUAUUUAUUGGGAAAAUUUUAAUACGAAGUUCUUUUCCGGCAGGAACCACCUUUUCGUCCUAGCAUCGUAGAAUUUAGCUUCCACCUCAGUAAUCCAAUGGACGACAAAAGAUGUUGUCGGUUAGAUCCGGUAGGGUAAAUUGUAGCUGACAUCAUACUUAUGCCAUCCAUUGGCUACACUAAAAUCGACAUGUUCUGAAUUUUUCCAUCGCAAUUAUGCUUUGUUUAUGCCACUACGUAGCAUUCUCUUCAAAGCUGGGGCAUGGCGGCGUUAGAUACCAAGUGACGGGCCAUGCAUUAUUAUGCAUGGCAUUGAACUAUUUCUACCUCACCGUGGCAUCACAAUUUCUAAGUUUGCAGUAAGUAAUUGUUCCAACCAGUUCAGACCAGUGCAGCAAUCUGUUAUUGGCAUCCUGGCCGAUUAUCUUUUUCUGCAUUUCUUGGUAGCAAAAGAUAAAAUCAAUAUUUGAAAAAGAAAAUAAAGAUAAAGGAAGGCCAAUAACAAAAUUAAAUCUGUGGCUGAUAAAGGUAGUAUUUUCGUCAAGUGUCGUACGAUACAAUCCCAAAAAAUGGACAUAGCGUGUUUUUUGGGAGCUGUACAAGGCUGCAGAUUUCAUAUUUACAGGGAUUGGUAUACAUGACAACUUUUUACAGGACACCAGCAGCUUUCAAAUCAGCGAGCAUUUUGACAACAUGUUCAGGCAUCGGAGGAGGAGUGGGCAGAAUGAUCACCUGUGGCCUGAAAUCCGUUUUCGUCAGCAACCCAAUUGAUGGUAAGGACAACGCCGUCCGGAGAAGUGUACGAGUAAGAUCCUUUAGAAACGGUGCCAAUAUCUUCAGGUUUUGGUCCCACUUGCUUUUGGCUGCCGCUCUCGGAAACUUUGGUUCCGUCAGCACUCUCAAAGCUUUUGCAGUGUAAAGUGGUAUGUCAGAAUUAAAAUAUCAUAAUAACAUAGUUAUCAAAUAAGAAGUAUAUUGACUUACGCGAAAGAAUAGCUGCCAUCGGCGUUCAUUUCACUGUUGGAGGAGAUAAUUUCGAUCGGUUUCUUAUCUUCUUGAGGUGCGGCAAGGGCCAUAGCCAAGAAAGUGAGAGCGACGAUCUGACACAGCCAAGAAAAGUCGCAUGAGGAUGAUAUGGCAAGACCUUAUGGAAACAUUCUCUUCUUCACCUGGAGGCAGGGCAACACAUGCAAAUUAGCGAAAGGCUAGCACGUUACAACUAGAAUUCAACCUCCAUUAAGAAAGUAUUAUCUACCCAUAAAGAAAAAGAUGAGAGACCUUCAGAAAAGAAAUUUUGCCAUUGAAAUUCUUAACAUACUUUCUAAUUGGGAAACGGGCGACUUUCGCACGAUCAUUCAUGAUCGUCACUCAUAUCAUCCCAGAAUCUGCGGAAGACUUCCAAUCGUCUGAGAACUAUCUCAUCGACUUCAUGGUUUUAUGACUAGGAUUUUAACCGUUUUUCCCCGUUGCUUUGUCAUAGAUGAUUUCGUGAUUUUCCCGAGUGAAUAUCAAACAAUCGACUCCGAAGAAAUUCCAACAAAGCAAGGGUCAUAACAUGGAGAAACGCGAGCAGCAGUGUAACGAUUACAUCCGGCGCACGGUCAGACGUGAUAAGAUCGUGCUCAUGCUGGUAAGCAGUGGAGUCGAUUCCGCCGUUUGUACUGCACUUCUACAGGGUGACGACUCGUCGCGAGUGCUGGUGGCCAGUGAAGACUCAUCAUAACGAUUCUGAAAUUGUUCGUCAGUUGCGCUUUCACGGCCGUGUAGUAGAACCUCUAGAAGACUUCCAUAAAGAUGAAGUAAGAGCCCUAGGUCACGAACCGAGUCCGCCUGCAGAAUUACUGGAACGUCACCCGUUUCCUGGUCCAGGUUUGUCAAUUCGAGUCAUUUACGCCGAAGAACCGUUCUUCGAAGCUGAUUUCGAUGAGACGCAAGUGCUGAUUCGUUUGAUGGUUUAUUAUGCCAAGGAACAUGCCUUGCUCAAUCGGAUUGAAAUCGUGACGUCGGAAGAAGAGCGCUUCUUCUAGAAGAACUGUCCAGUCACAACCAGUAUGUUGCCACGCUGCUGCCUAUUCGCACUGUCGGUGUUCAGGUACAGGAGGUUGCAGAAAAAUGUGUUGGGUAUGGCAAACAAAGCAUAGGGGAAACCGCCACAUUUUUCUGCAAUAUAUUGUACAACAGAUUCGCAAUUUAGACGUUUUCGUAAUAAUGCCGAGAUCGUAAUCAGCUCUUAUUCAAGGGAGACAAUAGGUGCCACCGUACCUACGCCAAGGUAUUUUUUUUUUCUUUUGUCUCGACAUUUUAAUGGCCAGGGGUAUGUCCUUGACGCUCGUCUUAUCGAAACGGCAUUUCAUGUCAAUCUGCGAACGUUUGACAACUCAAUAGUAUUGCAAUAGGUUAAUAGUUUUGUUUCAAGUAAAAUUGCAAUGUGUCGAAUGCCUUAUUUCGUUUACAUCGACUCUACUUCAAUAAUUUACAAUUGGAAAAAGGUUGCUUUUAAGCGACAAGAAGGUAUUGGGUGUGUCUAUGCACGAACUAUGGUUUAAUGGGUGAGCAUCGGAUUGUAGCGCUGGAUGUUUGUGCAUAAAAUCGCAUCAGAGGUAAAAGUACACAAUGUGUUUGCU